ACUCCUACGGGAGGCAGCAGUGGGGAAUUUUGGACAAUGGGCGAAAGCCUGAUCCAGCAAUGCCGCGUGAGUGAAGAAGGCCUUCGGGUUGUAAAGCUCUUUUGUCAGGGAAGAAACGGUGAGAGCUAAUAUCUCUUGCUAAUGACGGUACCUGAAGAAUAAGCACCGGCUAACUACGUGCCAGCAGCCGCGGUAAUACGUAGGGUGCAAGCGUUAAUCGGAAUUACUGGGCGUAAAGCGUGCGCAGGCGGUUUUGUAAGUCUGAUGUGAAAUCCCCGGGCUCAACCUGGGAAUUGCAUUGGAGACUGCAAGGCUAGAAUCUGGCAGAGGGGGGUAGAAUUCCACGUGUAGCAGUGAAAUGCGUAGAUAUGUGGAGGAACACCGAUGGCGAAGGCAGCCCCCUGGGUCAAGAUUGACGCUCAUGCACGAAAGCGUGGGGAGCAAACAGGAUUAGAUACCCCAGUAGUCCCAUGA
rnacentral:rRNA from 1 species